rnacentral:rRNA from 1 species
CGCGGUAAUUCCAGCUCCAUUAGUGUACAUCGAUAUUGCUGCGGUUAAAAAGCUCGUAGUUUGAUCUGGGUUGCAUGCGUUGAUACUCCUUUGGAGGUUAUCUUCGCUGCAGCUAAACUGCUGGUUAUCUGCAGGUGUUUUCGGACCCUGUAGCGGCUAGCGAGAUUACUAACACAAAAUCAAAUAGCUUAGAUAAGGCGUCUGCCUGAAUGUUCUAUGCUGGAAUAAUGGAAAAGGACUUCGGUCUUGUUUAUUGGUUCUUAGUUCGAAGUAAUGAUUAAUAGAGACGAUUCGGGGCUGUUCGUAUCAUUACGCGAGGGGUGAAAUCCGUUGACCGUAGUGAGACGUCCAAAAGCGAAAGCAUUCAGCAAGAACGUCUUCAUUAAUCAAGAACGAAAGUCAGAGGUUCGAAGGCGAUUAGAUACCGCCCUAGUUCUGACCGUAAACUAUGCCAUCUAGCGAUCCGAUGGGGUAAUUUGCCUUGUCGGGGAGCUUACCGGAAACGAAAGUCUUUCGGUUCCGGGGGUAGUAUGGUUGCAAAGCUGAAACUUAAAGAAAUUGACGGAAGGGCACCACCAGGAGUGGAGCCUGCGG